GCUUACGGCCAUACCAUCCUGAACACGCCUGAUUUUGUCUAAUAUCGGAAGCUAAGCAGGGUUGGGCCUGGGCAGUAUUUGGAUGGGAGACUGCCUGGGAAUACCAAGUGCUCUAACUU
rnacentral:rRNA from 1 species